UGUGCAGUAAGAAAAAUAAACUUAAUUCCAGUUUUUAACUUAAUCAACUUAAAUUAAGUUUAUUUUUCUUACUGCAUUGGCAGAUAUUUUGACUUGUUUUAAGUAAAAAGAAAAACUCUUGAUUUUUAUCAUUUAUUUCAAUAAACAAGACUUAAUAUCUUAAGCCACUUGCUUACCAAGUCAAUGUAUCUCAAUUUGAGAAUUUUUAGAUAUUUAUAUUAGAAAACAAGACAAAAAACUAGGUAAGACAAUCAUUUUUUGCAGUGUGAGGGAGAAGAACCAAGCCCUGAGGGAACGUAGUGAACGAGCAGCUUUGGAUGACAGCGGCUUACUUUUAAUGUUGCUUGACAACACUUUGAGGCAGGAUAAAAUGCUCCAGGAACAAUUUCUUUAGAGUAUCUUCUCUAAUCACCUUUCAAUUAAUACAACCUGGACUGGUGUAGGGAAUCAAGCAUGUUUUAGAUACCCGUUUCUGAAGACCAUUGUUCAAAGAGCCAUCCGGAAGAACCCUGCAACCCAGGAUGCCACUGAUGGGGCCGUUCAGGUUAAUGUUACGUGUUACCUGAAAGGAGCAUCUGACCGUGAAGGCGGAAAAAGGCAGUACACAGCUGAGCGGGACCCCCAGAUGACCCCUUAAACCGAGGCUGACUACUGACACCCCAACAUCGCUGACAACUGGAAACAUUUCUUUAUCCUGCAGUCAGUAACAUCAAGAAGCCUGAAGUGUGACAGUACACUCAACCAAUCCACAUUUCACUGUGAAAAUUACUUUUCUUUUUUUCCAAAUUCCCUGGGACCCUGCCUUGAUGGCAGCUCCUUGGAAAGAUAUAGAAUGGGGAGAAGGUUUGUCCUUUAUACAGGUGCACGAGAUAAAGUACUGAUCAUAAGCGCCUCAUGCUUAUACAUUACAUUCAUGUGGAUAUUUUUUAAUAUCUUUAGUGUCUUUUACUGUUUUUUUUAGUCACGUGGAUUUGUUUUUUUUUAAUCAUUUUGUUUAUGUUGAUGUGUGUUGUGUUAUAAGCUACUGGGACCUUGAAUUUACCAUUGAGGAUCAAUAAAGUAUCUGUUCAUUUUUCAUUCACAAGAGACAGAUCAUAUUGCAGCAAAGUAAAAAUAUUGUGUCCCAGGUCAGCAAUGCCAUUAUAAUAGUCUAUUCUAGUCCAGAGCUUUACUCUAAAUGAUUAACACUUAUCUAUUGUUAGAAAUGACGAUUAUUUGGUAUGCUGGGCAUUCUUUGGUACCAAAUAUCCUCAUUACUUAAUAUAAUGUUUACUGGUAGCCUAAUUAUUUUCAUCUUAGAGCUGACCUCUAAAUUAUUAACAAUUAUUGUAAAUGUCUAAUUUGCUUGUAAUGUUUUUUUUAAACUAGAAUUUGUUUGGAAACCUGUAUGUUCUUUAGUACUUUUUUAUUUUUCAGUUAUU